ACAACACCUUUACGUAUUGUUACUUUGAAUAUGAAGUUAAUUUUCCUUUUUAAAACCAACAAGGAUACUCACACUCGUAAUCAUGGAAAAGGUUUUUAUUGUCUCUGUUUCUCAGCUUGGUUUGAUCUUUAAAACAGGGCUUCCAGAGCCUAAUGAUUUUCAUCUUCAAUGAAUUUUUCAGACAAUAUACAUGAGAACUUGUCAAUAGGAUUGAAGGUCAUUUUAUACCCUUGGAAAUAUUAAUAAUAUAUUCCUCAUGAAGAAACGUUUUCUUAGAUAAAAUGGCAAAUGGUGUUUGAAAGCAGAAAGAUCAAGAAAAUGUCAGGACCAACCAGCAAUUACCAUGCCGCAGCCCCUGCUAGUGAAUGAAUCCUGAGGUGUGCCCAUCUGGAAGCCCACGGCUCAUUCUGUGCUUAAAUCCUGUGCUCUUUCAAACAAUAAAUGUAGGGAAGAAAGCAAACUGUCAAAAGGGUGCUGGAAAUAGCCAGAACAGCUCAUAAAAGCAUAUAAUUCUUGAGCUGUCAUAUUCUCUACCAGCACGAUAAACACUAGAACCUCUGCCCUCUCCCAAACGUCUUGUGAUGUUGUGAACUUCCUGUUGGCACUGAAGUUUCAAUUCAAGCAUUUUGGGACACAUGUGCACCUUCCCAUAAUGAUGAAACCUCUGGUACCUGCUUAAAGCCAUUGGCUUGGACCUGCCCAUAGUCACUGUGGAUGACAAGUAUGGGCAGAAUUCUCUGCCUGACCACAGCCAGCUGUUCAUCUCUGCUAACUGCUCACUGAAGGACCUCCUGUGUUCAUCCCUGCCUUGGGGUCUGUGGCCGCCCAUUGUAGUCUUGUCAAACCUGUCUCCGGCUCUCGUAGAGCAGAUGUGCCUCAGUGAAACUUUGUCAUGGAGUGUGUCACCCCUUCUCAGCCUGUGAUUAUCACCGUGUGACAUCACCUCUGCAUGGUCACAACUGAAGCUGCGGAGUGUUUGCAAGGUCAGCGUUUGGACGGGCGCAGAGCCCUGCAUCUCUGUGGGGUUGGCGAUCUUGGAGCCUUGGUUGAACACUCAGGAGAGCUCUCUUCCUGGCCUUCUGGACCUUGCCUGUGUGUGUGGAAGGAAAUGCACUUGGUGCAGGUUUCUUUGUCAUCCUUCUCCGCAGCCCACCCUUCUCCUUUAACCUGCCUCCGACAUCAUCUCAGAUACAUUACUGCCCCGAGAUCUGAAGUCCGAUUCUCCCAGCAGACUCUUGUUCUCUCUCUGGGCUCUCUUUCUCUGCAUGUCCAUUUGGAAAAUGCUCCAGGGAGAAAGGAGAAGUGAAUACAGGGCUUAUCUCCUGGAGUUUCCUUCUUGGGAGAAGAGUAGCUCAGUGUUGGCUGGUGCACAAUGCUUGGAGACCAUUGUUUUCUGUGUCUUGUUCACAUAUUCUUCACUGAGCGUAGAGGGGGGUAAAUCUGAUCCCAGCUCUUCUGUGAAGGCUCCACAAUUGGCAUUUAACACCACGAGAUUGGGGGAGAUUCCCCAGUUAACUGGAGUCAAGAGCACAGGACGCAGAAUGAAGCCUUGGAGCACUGCCAUUUAGGAGACCUUGAGGAUAAGAAAAGAACUGAUCCAAAGAAACUGAGGAGAGCGAUGGGAGGGAUAAAAGGGAAACAAAGAGUGGGGUGUCCUGAGAGGCUCGGGAAUCUCUCACCGAGAAGAUGUGAUCUACCA